rnacentral:lncRNA from 1 species
AACAAGCAUUAAGUUAAAUACCCAUAAAGUUUUCACACUAGGGUUGGAUCACAACCCUAGUAAAAAUCUAGCUACUCAUGCUUGAGAUUGAAGAAAUAGAAGAAGAAAUGAUAAAUAAACUCAUAUUGUGAAAUCAAAAUGAUAAAAUCUAUGUUAAAAUAUCCCAAAAUAUGAAAAACUACUAAAAGAAGUAAAGAGAAACGCCUAUUGUAGCUACUGAUGUCAAAAGUUGACCUAAUUUCGUGAAACUCUUCUAUUUAUAUAAAGCUGAUAAUUUCGGACAAAAAUACCCCUCGGGAGGUUCUGUGGCCGCACAAUUUCAUGUGCGGUCCGCAUAUUUCUUCAACUUAUCAGGACUUGGAGGUCUGCGGCCGCAUAAUUCUGAUAUGCGGCCGCGAAGCAAUCUUUCUGCAGUCCGCAGAUUUGUAACUGCGGUUGCAACUUGGUUCUGCGGUCCGCACUUUUACUUCUGCGGCCGCACAAUUCUUGUGCGGUCCGCACUUCUAAGGGACUUGAAACUUGAGAAUUUGCACAUUCUCUGAACUUUGUUCCUAGCCCAGGUUUUGCGGUUGCACAAUUCAUGUGCGGUCCGCACUUUGUGAGCUUAUGGCAGUGCCUUUUAUUGCCUUUGGUGUAGAUUACUCCUUUUUGAGUUGGAUUUCAUAUCGGGAGUCCAUCUUCCAAUAUUCCUGCAGUUUAGCACAUUUCAUCAGUUUCGGAAACACAAUUCAAUACUUUUAGACUAAAACAAAAGUCAAAAUGUGCUAAUAAGUAGUUAAAAUCCCCACUUAUCAUAGACAAUGAUAAUUUUCAAUUUCUUUGCUGACAAGGUUAAGCAUUGAGACAAUCCACGCGCAAUUUUGCAGGCAUGACGUGGUUGCCUUCUACUUGUCUGAUAAAAAUGCAGACUUGAGCUUUAAAAUUCUGGUAACCGAACCCGAGUCCUCUUGUUCUUGGAAAUCUAUUUAUGUUUGGUUGAAAUUUUAGCCCAAGCUUCAUGCCAAAAGAAUGAGAUGUUAGAGAAGAUGGGUGCCUUUUCUUCUUCAGUAAGGACAUGAUUUCAAAACCAAAAUACUUCGCUCUCUCAUUGGAUGUGGUUGACAGAUAUAUGGAUAGAAUUGUUUUUGAUUUCAUGUAAACCCAAAAUCAAUCUAUGGAUUUAUAUACAAUCGUUUCUGUUAUAACGGGUAAGGAGUAAGAAAAAAAUAUAGAAGAAAUUAAAGGUAAAGGAAAUGAAAAAGAAAAGAGAAAAAGUAGAGAAGAUAUUCAUGGAAGUUGAGUCCACUCGUUUAAGUUUUGUUUUUUAAAGAACUAAAUUAGGUCAGAGUUAUG